rnacentral:rRNA from 1 species
AACUUUUAGCCUUGUUGAAUCGUCCCAUCCUCUUGUAGGAUGCUGUGACAAUUCUUAGGGCUUUCCUGGUGGAGAGCACCUCUGCCCUUUAUUGGGUUGGUUGUGCGAUCUGCCUCUUUUACUGUGAGAAAAACAAAGUGCUCAAAGCAGGCUUUACAGCUUGAAUGCGUUAGCAUGGAAUAAUAAGAUAGGACUUGGUUUCUAUUUUGUUGGCUCUGAGAAACGAAGUAAUGAUUGAUAGGGAUAGUUGGGGGUGCUCGUAUUUAACGGUCAGCGGUGAAAUGCAUGGACCCGUUAAAGACGAACUUAUGCGAAAGCAUU